AUGAGGUUGAACCUCACAAUAAGGCUCUUGAUCUUCUUGGUUGGUGGAAAGGCAAUACUCCUAGGCACCCAAUUAUGCAUAGCCAGGAGGUUCCUUACUAUCCCAGCUACCUCUGUGUCUUCAGAAUCUACCUUCAGCAUGAUCGGAAGGAUUUUAGAUGACUACAGGAUUUCGUUAAAACCGGUUAUGGUGGAGGCAUUAGUUUGUGGUGCAAGUUAUAUCAAGGGUGCUCACAUUGACUUGAAUCUGGUGCUGAGGGAUGAGAAUGAAGAGGAUGAUGUUGAAACCAUCAAGUUACCCAUCGUGGAGGAGAUCAACGAUUGA
rnacentral:rRNA from 1 species